rnacentral:rRNA from 1 species
CCUACGGGAGUCUGCAGUGAGGAAUAUUGGUCAAUGGCCGGAAGGCUGAACCAGCCAAGCCGCGUGAAGUCCGAAGGUGCCAAGCAUUGUAAACUUCUUUUGUCAAGGGACAAAAUCAGGCUCGAGAGCCUGACCGAGGGUACUUGAAGAAAAAGCAUCGGCUAACUCCGUGCCAGCAGCCGCGGUACUACGGAGGAUGCGAGCUUUAUCCGGAUUUAUUGGGUUUAAAGGGCACGUAGGUGGAUUGUUAAGUUAGUGGUGAAAGUUUGCGGCUCAACCGUAAAAUUGAAGUUGAAACUGGCAGUCUUGAGUACAGUAGAGGUGGGCGGAAUUCGGGGUGUAGCGGUGAAAUGCUUAGAUAUCACGAAGAACUCCGAUUGCGAGGGCAGCUCACUGGACUGCAACUGACACUGAGGCUCGAAAGUGUGGGUAUCAAACAGGAUUAGAUACCCGAGUAGUC